rnacentral:rRNA from 1 species
CUUGUUGGUGGGGUAACGGCCUACCAAGGCGACGACGGGUAGCCGGCCUGAGAGGGCGACCGGCCACACUGGGACUGAGACACGGCCCAGACCCCUACGGGAGGCAGCAGUGGGGAAUAUUGCGCAAUGGGCGAAAGCCUGACGCAGCGACGCCGCGUGGGGGAUGAAGGCCUUCGGGUUGUAAACCCCUUUCAGCAGGGACGAAGCGAAAGUGACGGUACCUGCAGAAGAAGCGCCGGCUAACUACGUGCCAGCAGCCGCGGUAACACGUAGGGCGCAAGCGUUGUCCGGAAUUAUUGGGCGUAAAGAGCUCGUAGGCGGUCUGUUGCGUCCGCUGUGAAAACUCGGGGCUUAACCCCGAGCCUGCAGUGGAUACGGGCAGACUAGAGGUAGGUAGGGGAGAAUGGAAUUCCCGGUGUAGCGGUGAAAUGCGCAGAUAUCGGGAGGAACACCGGUGGCGAAGGCGGUUCUCUGGGCCUUACCUGACGCUGAGGAGCGAAAGCGUGGGGAGCGAACAGGAUUAGAUACCCUGGUAGUCCACGCCGUAAACGUUGGGCGCUAGGUGUGGGAUCCUUCCACGGAUUCCGUGCCGCAGCUAACGCAUUAAGCGCCCCGCCUGGGGAGUACGGCCGCAAGGCUAAAACUCAAAGGAAUUGACG